AUGGAUUUAAGCUCCAUAUAUAAAGUGUUUAACUUUUAUUAGAA
rnacentral:tRNA from 1 species